rnacentral:rRNA from 1 species
AAUAUUGCGCAAUGGGGGGAACCCUGACGCAGCGACGCCGCGUGAGUGAAGAAGGUCUUCGGAUCGUAAAGCUCUGUCAUCGGGGACGAAGGUAUGACGGUACCCGAAGAGGAAGCCCCGGCUAACUACGUGCCAGCAGCCGCGGUAAUACGUAGGGGGCGAGCGUUGUCCGGAAUUACUGGGCGUAAAGGGUGCGUAGGCGGCCUGAUAAGUCAGGUGUGAAAUACCAGGGCUCAACCCUGGGGGUGCACUUGAAACUGUCGGGCUUGAGUGCAGGAGAGGAAAGCGGAAUUCCUAGUGUAGCGGUGAAAUGCGUAGAUAUUAGGAGGAACACCAGUGGCGAAGGCGGCUUUCUGGACUGUAACUGACGCUGAGGCACGAAAGCGUGGGUAGCGAACA